CACUAGGAAGCUAAACCGGGCCUAGCGUCAGCCUUUUAAGCUGAAGAUUGGUGGCCCCCAACCACCUCUAGUGA
rnacentral:tRNA from 1 species